CAAUAGCGUAUAUUAAAGUUGUUGCAGUUAAAAAGCUCGUAGUUGGAUUUCGGGGCAGCCUGGCUGGUCCGCCGCAAGGCGAGUACUGGUCAGCCGCCCUUCCUCUCGAAAGCCCCGACUGCUCUUUAUUGCAGUGGUCGGGUAGUUCGGGACGUUUACUUUGAAAAAAUUAGAGUGUUCAAGGCAGGCCUACGCCUGAAUACAUUAGCAUGGAAUAAUGGAAGAGGACCUCGGCCCUAUUUUGUUGGUUUCCAGGACCGAAGUAAUGAUUAAGAGGGACAGUUGGGGGCAUUCGUAUUUAAUUGUCAGAGGUGAAAUUCUCGGACUUAUGAAAGACGAACAACUGCGAAAGCAUUUGCCAAGGAUGUUUUCAUUAA
rnacentral:rRNA from 1 species